rnacentral:rRNA from 1 species
UGGAGUAAAAGGCUAUGGNUCAACCAUAGUGUGCUCUGGAAACUNUCUGACUUGAGUGCAGAAGGGGAGAGUGGAAUUCCAUGUGUAGCGGUGAAAUGCGUAGAUAUAUGGAGGAACACCAGUGGCGAAAGCGGCUCUCUGNUCUGUCACUGACGCUGAGGCUCGAAAGCGUGGGUAGCGAACAGGAUUAGAUACCCUGGUAGUNCACGCCGUAAACGAUGAGUGCUAGGUGUUAGGCCCNUUCCGGGGCUUAGUGCCGGAGCUAACGCAAUAAGCACUCCGCCUGGGGAGUACGACCGCAAGGUUGAAACCCAAAGGAAUUGACGGGGGCCCGCACAAGCGGUGGAGCAUGUGGUUUAAUUCGAAGCAACGCGAAGAACCUUACCAGGUCUUGACAUCCCGAUGCUAUUCUUAGAGAUAGGAAGUUACUUCGGUACAUCGGAGACAGGUGGUGCAUGGUUGUCGUCAGCUCGUGUCGUGAGAUGUUGGGUUAAGUCCCGCAACGAGCGCAACCCUUAUUGUUAGUUGCCAUCAUUAAGUUGGGCACUCUAGCGAGACUGCCGGUAAUAAACCGGAGGAAGGUGGGGAUGACGUCAAAUCAUCAUGCCCCUUAUGACCUGGGCUACACACGUGCUACAAUGGUCGGUACAACGAGUUGCGAGCCGGUGACGGCAAGCUAAUCUCUGAAAGCCGAUCUCAGUUCGGAUUGGAGGCUGCAACUCGCCUCCAUGAAGUCGGAAUCGCUAGUAAUCGCGGAUCAGCACGCCGCGGUGAAUACGUUCCCGGGCCUUGUACACACCGCCCGUCACACCACGAGAGUUUGUAACACCCGAAGUCGGUGAGGUAACCUUUUAGGGGCCAGCCG